ACGACCCGUGAACACGUUGUGACUGCCCGUUGGGGGCUUGGGCUUUGAACGGCCCUGGCCCCCAACUGUGCUCGGGUCGUUCGGCCCUCGCCAACGCCCCCAGCAUAACAAACAAACCCCCGGCGCGGAAUGCGUCAAGGUAGAGCAAAAAAGCAAGCGAUGCGCCGCCGGUGCUCCGGAGACGGUGUCACCUGGCGGCGGAUUCGUGGAUUUGGUUAAAGAUAAAACGACUCUCGGCAACGGAUAUCUCGGCUCUUGCAUCGAUGAAGAACGUAGCGAAAUGCGAUACGUGGUGUGAAUUGCAGAAUCCCGUGAACCAUCGAGUCUUUGAACGCAAGUUGCGCCCGAAGCCAUCCGGCUGAGGGCACGUCUGCCUGGGCGUCACACACCGUUGCCCCCACAAAACCUCGGCAUCCGCGGUCAAAAAGCGUGGUGACGGGUUUACCGGGGCGGACGUUGGCCUCCCGUGUGCCCCGGCACGCGGUUGGUCUAAACAUGGGUCCAUUUCGGGUCGGGCACUGGCCCGCCGCGGGUGCGAGCUUUGCGGUCGGUUAAAAAACAGUGCCCACGCGCGCCAUCGCGACAAACUGUGGUUGUGGAUCCGUCCGGUCGUGGACCGUCGCAUGCGCCGGCCGUGAAACUGGACCCGAGCACGAACCCCAACGCACCAUCUGUGUGGAUGCUUCCGACGCGACCCCCGG
rnacentral:rRNA from 1 species